rnacentral:rRNA from 1 species
AUUGAACGCUGGCGGCAGGCCUAACACAUGCAAGUCGAACGAGUGGCGGACGGGUGAGUCAUGUCUGGGCAACUUCCUGAUGGAGGGGGAUAACUACUGGACACGGUAGCUAAUACCGCAUACCAUCAGAUGUGCCCAGAUGGGAUUAGCUAGUUGGUGGGGUACCGGCUCACCAAGGAGACGAUCCCUAGCUGGUCUGAGUGGAUGACCAGCAACACUGGAACUGAGACACGGUCCAGACUCCUACGGGAGGCAGCAGUGGGGAAUAUUGCACAAUGGGCGCAAGCCGGAUGCAGCCAUGCCGCGUGUAUGAAGAAGGCCUUCGGGUGGUAAAGUACGUUCAGCGGGGAGGCGUUACCCGCAGAAGAAGCACCGGCUAACUCCGUGCCAGCAGCCGCGGUAAUAC